UUAGGAGCAGCAAGAUGGAAGCGGCAAACCCUGGCGAUUCUCCGAUUAUGCAAGAUGUAAUUAUUCAGUCAGCAAGACACUUGCUGCAGUUACUGACAUCAUCCAACUGAACUGCUGCUGUGAUGAAUCAGAAUACAAGAGAACAGAGUCAAGGUACCAGCUUGGUCAACCCUAAAAGACCAUCUGUUCAUCAAGAUAUGACCAGGUGAAAAAGUCAUAAACUAAACACUCUGCAUGAGCAUGGAAUUUAGGAUGCAACUUUAUAUCUUACCUGCUCUACACUCAGGGCUUGAAUUACAACAACAGUCAAUCACAUAAAAAAAAAUAUACUUUUGGUAGUUCUGUGUCUCUCUCUCUCCUCCAAACCCAGAUGGCUGCUGGUACUGAACCGGGUUCUGCUGGAGGUUUCUUCUUGUUAAAGGGGAGUUUUUCCUCUGCACUGUCACUUCAUGCUGCUCAGUGUGAGGGAUUGUUGAGGUUGAGUCCAUAUGUCCUGCGAACAACUGCUGGGCAAUGACACCAUGCAAUCUUCUGGGAUUCCUUGGAUAGAAAACCUGUGAGCUGCACUUGUCCUUGGUCUUCACAGCUCACCUUUUUACUGUUUAUUGAAUCAAAAUUCUCCAGUGACAUGGAUUCUACAUUGUAACUGAUGUGAUGUUCUAUAAAGUGGUUUUAAUAAAAAAAAAAAA
ensembl:lncRNA